UAGUUGAGUUGAGUUGAGUUGAGGGAUUAAACUUCUUCAUUGGAAAAAAUCUCAACAUCAUUUGUUCCUUCAAAGUAAUCCACUGUUUUAGACAUAUUCUCUUAUGGUUAGGUCAAGGACAAAGGCUGAGUAGAGGCAUGAUACACGAAGAACAGUUCAAAAAAAAAAAAGGCCAGAAAAAGUUCCACAUACUGUAAACAGUGUCGGUGAACAGUGCACGUGAAUAAUGCCGAGCAUGUGAAUAGUAUCGAUGAACAGUGCAUGUGAACAACAUGGUUGUCAAAGGCGCGCCUGAGGCAGGAGGUGUAGCAGGUUCAAGGUGUGACGCCUUAGGCCAUGGAGGGCGAGUGACCUCACCCAAGCCUGGUGAGGCACACCAGGGUGCACGGAGGCGCAAGAUGCACAGGCACGCCUAGGCAAGGAUAGGUGCACCUCUCCCUGGUUCAGCGACAGGUGGCCUUUUUUUUGUUUUUUUGGAAAAACUCAACCUCACGUCGCCCACAUUGUGUCGUCCAGAAGAAGAAGAAGAAGGAGCACUUACCAAAUAGCUUGCUGCCCUAUGCAGUAUGCUCCUUUUCUUUUUUUUUCUUGCUUCUUCUCUUCUUCUUUUGGUCUCUCUCUGUUCACGGCAUGUUCUUUCCCUACCGUUAUGCUAUGGAAAAUUUUUUUUCUUCCAUGCUUCUUUUCUUCCUUCAAUCUCUUCCACAUUCUUCUCUUCUUGAAUCAUGUGGAGUUGUAAACCCUAUAGGCCUAACCAAGGGUUAGAGUUUAUGUUAGUGUCUUCAAAUGGCCAUGAUGAGGCUAGUCUCUUCUUGAGUAUACCUUAACUAUAAAUAGAAAGAAGAUUUGCUUGAAUGUUAGAUGAGUUACAUUCCUCUAUAGGAGGUCCUUGAGUUGAGUAGCCUGCUUGAAUAAUUUACAACAGAUUCUUCACAUCAGUUUUUUAGUUAGGUUCCAUGAGCAAGUAAAUAUUAAAUAUUAUGAAUUCAAAAUGUUAAAUAUUAUGCUGCUUCUUGAAUCUUAACUAAAUUUCUUGAUUGAAUUUUGCAGUUUUUAGUUCUUAGAGAUAUUAAGAUGCUAAAUUGUUAAUAAUGCUUAAUUAGUUGAAUAUGU
rnacentral:misc_RNA from 1 species